rnacentral:rRNA from 1 species
GACGAACGCUGGCGGCGUGCUUAACACAUGCAAGUCGAACGGAAAGGCCCUGCUUUUGUGGGGUGCUCGAGUGGCGAACGGGUGAGUAACACGUGAGUAACCUGCCCUUGACUUUGGGAUAACUUCAGGAAACUGGGGCUAAUACCGGAUAGGAGCUCCUGCUGCAUGGUGGGGGUUGGAAAGUUUCGGCGGUUGGGGAUGGACUCGCGGCUUAUGAGCUUGUUGGUGGGGUAGUGGCUUACCAAGGCUUUGACGGGUAGCCGGCCUGAGAGGGUGACCGGCGACAUUGGGACUGAGAUACGGCGCAGACUCCUACGGGAGGCAGCAGUGGGGAAUAUUGCACAAUGGGCGGAAGCCUGAUGCAGCAACGCCGCGUGCGGGAUGACGGCCUUCGGGUUGUAAACCGCUUUCGCCUGUGACGAAGCGUGAGUGACGGUAAUGGGUAAAGAAGCACCGGCUAACUACGUG